rnacentral:lncRNA from 1 species
CUCAGGUGAGUGCCUAAUGCUUCAGGCAUUUUAAGACCUUGGUGCCUUUUGAUACCUAGCGCUUUUAAAACAACUGGACACUAGACACCAAAAGAUGCUCAAGUGUCUUUUGAGAACACUGCUAGGGUGGAGAGAUAAUCUACUUGUCCUUGUUAAUGAUGUAGUGAAGUUUAUAUUUCAUUGCCUACAUGAGAUGGAUUAGUCUCCAUAAGUAUGUGUUGAUACUAUAAUGGCAUUCUGUACGAUUAAUUGAUCAAGCUACCAUGUUUUUCUUUUAUAAUGUAUGUCCCAAAACCCUUCUGUCCUAUUCUAGUGCCCAUAUGAAUAUUGACUUGGGUUAAUCCAAGUACCAUAAGACCCUAUUUUUGUUUUCUGGUUAUAAGCCAAAUUAAUCCAUCUGCAAGCAUAGCAGCACAAAGAAAGAAAUAAGCCAAAUUAAAUAUGACAUCAAGAUUAGUCACAGUUCACCUAAUAAUGUGGAUUCAAAAAAUAUAACUAAAAACCAGAUACAUGCUUCAAUAUUUGAAGGAAGAAUUUAGUGCCUCCUCAUAUGCCACAGAGUAUCCAUAAACACAAUGGAGGCUUCUAUAAUGAUAAGAAGUUUUGGUUGGACCAAAAUUUAAAGUCAGUGAAACCAAUAUAAAGUGCCUACAUAAAGGUCCCUUAUGAGGACACAAUAUAACCCAUAAGAAUGAAAACAGUCUCUUUUAAUAUUUAAAUAUAAGGUUACGUACAUUGAUCCUCCCCAGACCUCGCAUUGGCAAGAGCCUCGUGCAGUAGGUACGCCCU